rnacentral:misc_RNA from 1 species
CUGUCACAACCAUAAUUAUAUCAAUAACAGAUAACAGAUAUGACAUUCUUAAGCAUGAACAUAUUGAAGACACUUUUUGAAGAUUUGACUUGAUUGUCUUCUUCACGAAGAAAUUACACUUACUAAUGAAGACACUGGAUAUAUGACUAAUUAUCGAGAUUUUAAUACUAAACUGAAACAGACACUGGGAGAAAUAUUAGAGAACCGCGGUCUUACUGCUCGUUGGUAAUUAGAAAAAUUAUAGUUAAUUAUUUCUCUAUAAAAAGCGACGGUCUACGUAAGAUUGCCGGUGUAGGCUGGAUGAGGAUUGAGGAAAACCGGGAUGUCUGGCGCGAACUUGAGGAGACCUAUGUCCAGCAGUGGACUUCAAUAGGCUGGACUGAUG